CUAUGAUGCUGUCACAAGAGCGUCCCUGAAAGCACACCCCAAGGCUACCUACCAAGAGGUAGAUGACAAAAUAGCAGACGCUCUCAAACAUGCACCAGCUCGGCUCAAGAGUAAGAGAAAGGAGCGGGUCGAGGAAGAGACCGUGGAUGAGGAUGGAGCAG